CACAGAACAAGGUGGGUAACAAACACAGAACAAGGUGGGUAACGGACACAGAACAAGGUGGGUAACGGACACAGAACAUGGUGGGUGACAAACACAGAACAAGGUGGGUAACGGACACAGAACAAGGUGGGUAACAAACACAGAACAAGGUGGGUAACGGACACAGAACAAGGUGGGUAACGAACACAGAACAAGGUGGGUAGAAGAACAGAACAAGGUGGGUAAAGAACAAAGAUCAAGGUGGGUAACGGAGAACAAAGAGCAAGGUGGGUAACAAACACAGAACAAGGUGGGUACCGAACAAAGAUCAAGGUGGGUAACGGAGAACAAAGAGCAAGGUGGGUAACAAACACAGAACAAGGUGGGUAACGGACAAAGAGCAAGGUGGGUAACAAACACAGAACAAGGUGGGUAACGGACAAAGAGCAAGGUGGACAAACACAUUUAAAGGAAGCGUUCUGUGUUUUCCAACUUAACGUUAGAUGGUUCCUCACCCUGAAAGUCUAUGGGCCAGGAGAAUCUGGAAUCCAUGGUUCAGUUUUCUUUACAGCCACUACUAAUGUAGCCAGUGUUAACUUUAGCCAUUACUCCUCCCAUCUCCUCCUCUCCUCCCUAUUGUCCCUCUCCUCCUCUCCUCCUUCCUUCUCUCUUGCUCCUCUCCUCCCCCUGUCCCCCGCUCCUCCCCUUACCCCUCUCCUCCUCAUCAUCUUCUCCUCUCCUAACUACUUCUCUCCUCCCUCUUACCCUCUGUUCCUCCCCUCCCCUCC